rnacentral:tRNA from 2 species
GGGGCGUUAGCUAAGUGGUAUAGCGUUGCCUUCGCAACACAUCUUCUGAUGCGGCACAAGGGUGUUCAGUCACCCAGAUAGGCAAAGGUCCAGGGUUCAAUCCCCUGACGCUCCA